rnacentral:hammerhead_ribozyme from 1 species
GCGUUGCUGAAGAGUCCCACAACAGGACGAAACGGCCGUCCAGUGC